CUGCAGUCAUUUAAACAGAAUGUUCCUCUCCUGGUGGGGAUGUGGACUGCAAGGGCUGCAAACAGCCACUUCCUUGAGUCUAAGCAACCUGCUCUUAUAUGGGUUGCCCUGAGGGACUGUGAAGACAAUU